CUAAACAGAUUGACUCCACUCCUGGGUCCAGGGGUGAGGUAUAUAACUCAAGCUGAGGAAAUACUUUUAUUUGACCACAGUGAUUACUUUGGAUUGGGGAGGAGGGCAAGACAUUCUAAUGAGAAUGAAUCUCUGAACAUCUCUUAGAAUGUUGAAACAAAGGGCACUUGUUGACUGGCUGGUGUUGUAAGUGUAUGAGGAAACUAAAACUGCCUACAAGCCUUUUUUGCUGUUCUGCAGGAAGCUAGACCAAGAAUGAAGUUAAUGCAUGGAUUAGGGAGAAACAAAGUGAAACUUAGCAAAACUGAUCCAGGACCCUGAUGACACGUGAAUGGAUCUGAUUCACGAUUUUGGUAUCUGACUGAUGCUGUCUUCGUGGAAUGAGUUAGGAAAGAGUCCCUCCUCGUCAACUGUUGGGAAUACAUUCAGCAGGGUUGGUAUCAUUGCAUGUCUGGCAGAAUUUGACUAGGAAUCCAUCUGGUCCAGGAUUUUUUUUGUUGAUCCUUGCCCAAGUUUUUGGAACAUGGACUUUGGAUGGAGAUCUGGAUGCAAGGACUUUAGAGUGGAAUGAACCAGGGGAUUCCACCUGAAUUCAUGUGAGAGAAGUGGGACUGGGAAGAAAGAGAAGGUGAACUGCAAUGCAAGUUAAAAGGAAGCCUCAGAAAUCCAUGGGAAGCUCUGAAACUGGAGUGACUGUUCAGAGAUAGUUUAAGUGGAAGUACAAGGCCCACUUAUAUUUCAGCAUCAACCAGCCACUCUGUGAACACAGAUGUGAGGGUGGGAAUAUACAAUCCAGGAAUGAUCGCAGAUGUGAGGGUGGGAAUAUACAAUCCAGGAAUGAACACAGAUGUGAGGGUGGGAAUAUACAAUCCAGGAAUGAACACAGAUGUGAGGGUGGGAAUAUACAAUCCAGGAAUGAACACAGAUGUGAGGGUGGGAAUAUACAGUCCAGGAAUGAACACAGAUGUGAGGGUGGGAAUAUACAAUCCAGGGAGGGGGCUCCCUUCAGGUAAAAGUAUUAUUAGAUUGGUGCAAAAGUAAUCGCAAAAGGUAUUUUGCCACUUUUAAUGGCAAAAACGCAGUUAAUUUUGCACCAACCUAAAUACCUGGGAGGGACUCGGCUUUUGCUUAACAGUAGCCUAUAUUUCUGGCAGAGAGAGAAAAAUAGAUCACAGUCCAGAGGAAGAAUCUAUAUAGCAUACCCAGCCAAUCUCUGUUAAAUCUAGAAUAAUUUUCACCAAUUUUUUUCUAUUCUGAGUAAAGUUGAAAUCAUAGAACAACAUAGCAUGACAGAACCUUGGAGAUUAUUUAAUUCCACGUCCUCAUUUGAUUGAUGCAUUAACAUUAAGUAUAUUUUUAAGGACAUAAAAUAUAUACAGGAUUAAAAUCAAAAUGAUGUAGACUUUUUCUUGACCUCUUGACUCUUAUUUUCUACUUUAUUAGCACAGAUAAUUUUUGAAGUUGUGGGUUUUAGUCAAAGAUUUGAGUUUAAAAUGGGCCUGUACUAUUAACUGGAUGCAGUAUAUAAUUGAUAAUUUUAAAAUGUUUCCUGAAUAAGUAAUUUAAUAAAAGGAAAAUUCAUACAAUAGCCCUGAAGAGCAGGAGGCAUGAAAUAGCCAGCAGUACUAGCUACAUGAUCCUCAGUUUCUUCCUAAGUGCACAUAAUAUUAACCUUGUGUUAUGAUUGUGUGAAUAAAUUAAGAUGUGCUAAGUGCUUUUCUUAAUGUUUAUCAUGUGGUCACUGCUUGUUGAAUUCAAGUUGCCUACUGCAAAUUCCUCUAUGUGAGCUUUAAUGCCUGAAUCCAGCUUGGAGACUGAUAUGAAUAAGCCAUGAAUUAACUACAAAAAUGAUCAUUAUGGCCUCAACUUUGUACAAUGAAUGUCAAUUGUUAGUUUAAAUUGGCCACUCUGUAAGAUCAGACAUCCAUAGCCACAUAAUGACCAUAUUCAUGACCAAUCUGGCCUUACUCUCCCUAACAAACUUUGAAUUUAUGACUUCCUAACCAACUUUGAAUUAAUGACUUUCUAACAUAUCCUCAAUUGUAGUGGCCAUGGUCUAUUCACUUUCCUAUGCUUGCCACAUCAAUUUCUCCUUCCAGCCACGAAGUAUGACGGUCCACACUAGUCUACUCCAGGAAAUGAAUGGUCACCUCCUUCUUAUAGAGCCACAUCUGAAUGUCUUUUAUCCCUUUUGCACACAAGGGGUCUAUGCAUUAUUUCAUUUCCUGUAUUUCUUUAUAUUCUCUGAAGUCUUUUAGCAUUUACUAAUACAUUGUAUCCUCUUUUUUAAAUCAGAUGUUUGGGAGUAAUUUAUAUAUAGUAAAAUUCUACUUCUGAUUGUACCAUUUGAUGAACUUUGACAAAUUUACACUGUCCUUUAACUAACACUACCAUCAAGUUAUAGAACAUUUCCCUCACCACAAAAGAAAGUUUCCUUAUGACUCUUUGUAGUUACUCCUGUACUCUCCCACCCCAACACCUGACCUUGAACCUAUUUUCUGUCUCCAUAGUUUUUGCCUUGUUCAGAUGUCAUUUAAAUGGAACUGUACAAUAUAUGUGUCUUCUGGCAUUAUGCCUUUUGGAUGUUUCCAUAUUGUUCUAUGUAUUGAUAGUUUAUUUUAAUGGUUAAGUAGCAUUUCAUUAUACAAAAAUGCCACAAUUUGUUUAUAUAUUUACAAAACCGAUGGCUAUUCAGCUUUGCUCCAGAUUUUGGCUCCUAUGAAUAAGGUUUAUGUAUUUACAUUCAGAUCAUUUUAUGGAGAAAUUUUUCUUUGGAAAUAAUUCUGAAUUAGAGUGCUGGGUUACAAAGUAGGUGUAUGUGUAACAGGAUAUGGAAAUGCCAAUCAUUUUUCCAAAAUGCCUGUACCAUUUUGCAUUACCACAAGCAAUGUAUGAGUGUUGUAGUUGCACCACAUAUUCACCAAACUUGGUAUUGUCAAUGAUAUUUUUCAAACUUUAGAUAUCAAGUAGGUAUGUAGUGACAUGUCAUUGUGGUUUUAAUUUGCAUUUUCCUAAUGACUAAUGAUUUUGAGCAUCUUUUCAUGCCAUUCAUACUCUUUGGUGGAGUGUCUAUUCAAAUCUAUUGCUUAUUUUAAGAAUUAUCUUCAUAUUAAUUCCUAAAAGUAUGUAUAUAUUCUAAAAUGCCUUUAUUAAAUAGGUGUUUUGCC
rnacentral:lncRNA from 1 species